rnacentral:tRNA from 1 species
GUGCUGUAGCUCAGUUGGUAGAGCAUCGGACUGAAAAUCCGUGAGUCGGUGGUUCGAGCCCACUCAGCA